UUAGCCUCAAGUGCCUCAAAUUCUUUCUUCAUGGCUUCUUGCCAUUCUGGAAUAGAGGCAGCUUGGUAUUAAGAUGAAGGUUUAGUAAUAGUAUUAUCAACUAGGGAAUGAAAGCAACUAGAUAAAGAAGCACUAGGGCCACACAAGAAAGGGGGAAGUUGACAAACAUAAGGCUGAAGAUGAGCAGGUGGGUGGUACAUUCUGGAAUAGAGGCAACUUGGUUGUAAGAUGAAGCUUCAGUAAUAGUAUUAUCAACUAGGGAAUGAAAGCAACUAAAUAAAGAAGCACUAGGGCCACACAAGGAAGGGGGAAGUUGAUAAACAUAAGGCUAAAGAUGAGCAGGUGGGAGGUGAUCCCUAGAGGAUCUUCUAAGGUGUGGAGC
rnacentral:lncRNA from 1 species